rnacentral:rRNA from 1 species
ACUCCGAAAGCAAGGAAACUUACAACAAAGAGUCCCUCCCGACUGUUUACCAAAAACACAGCACUCUGCUAACUCGUAAGAGGAUGUAUAGGGUGUGACGCCUGCCCGGUGCUCGAAGGUUAAUUGAUGGGGUUAGCAUUAGCGAAGCUCUUGAUCGAAGCCCGAGUAAACGGCGGCCGUAACUAUAACGGUCCUAAGGUAGCGAAAUUCCUUGUCGGUUAAAUACCGACCUGCAUGAAUGGCGUAACGAGAUGGGAGCUGUCUCAAAGAGGGAUCCAGUGAAAUUGUAGUGGAGGUGAAAAUUCCUCCUACCCGCGGCAAGACGGAAAGACCCCGUGGACCUUUACUACAGCUUGACACUGCUACUUGGAUAAGAAUGUGCAGGAUAGGUGGGAGGCUUUGAGUAUAUGACGCCAGUUGUAUAUGAGCCAUUGUUGAGAUACCACUCUUUCUUAUUUGGGUAGCUAACCAGCUUGAGUUAUCCUCAAGUGGGACAAUGUCUGGUGGGUAGUUUGACUGGGGCGGUCGCCUCCCAAAUAAUAACGGAGGCUUACAAAGGUUGGCUCAGAACGGUUGGAAAUCGUUCGUAGAGUAUAAAGGUAUAAGCCAGCUUAACUGCAAGACAUACAAGUCAAGCAGAGACGAAAGUCGGUCUUAGUGAUCCGGUGGUUCUGUGUGGAAGGGCCAUCGCUCAAAGGAUAAAAGGUACCCCGGGGAUAACAGGCUGAUCUCCCCCAAGAGCUCACAUCGACGGGGAGGUUUGGCACCUCGAUGUCGGCUCAUCGCAUCCUGGGGCUGGAGCAGGUCCCAAGGGUAUGGCUGUUCGCCAUUUAAAGCGGUACGCGAGCUGGGUUCAGAACGUCGUGAGACAGUUCGGUCCCUAUCUGCCGUGGGCGUAAGAAGAUUGAAGAGAUUUGACCCUAGUACGAGAGGACCGGGUUGAACAAACCACUGGUGUAGCUGUUGUUCUGCCAAGAGCAUCGCAGCGUAGCUAAGUUUGGAAAGGAUAAACGCUGAAAGCAUCUAAGCGUGAAGCCAACUCUAAGAUGAAUCUUCUCUAAGCUCUCUAGAAGACUACUAGUUUGAUAGGCUGGGUGUGUAAUGGAUGAAAGUCCUUUAGCUGACCAGUACUAAUAGAGCGUUUGGCUUAUCUUU